rnacentral:rRNA from 1 species
CAGCAGUGGGGGAAUAUUGCACAAUGGGCGCAAGCCUGAUGCAGCCAUGCCGCGUGUGUGAAGAAGGCCUUCGGGUUGUAAAGCACUUUCAGUCGUGAGGAAGGUGGUAGUGUUAAUAGCACUAUCAUUUGACGUUAGCGACAGAAGAAGCACCGGCUAACUCCGUGCCAGCAGCCGCGGUAAUACGGAGGGUGCGAGCGUUAAUCGGAAUUACUGGGCGUAAAGCGCAUGCAGGUGGUUUGUUAAGUCAGAUGUGAAAGACCCGGGGCUCAACCUCGGAAUAGCAUUUGAAACUGGCAGACUAGAGUACUGUAGAGGGGGGUAGGAAUUUCAGGUGUAGCGGUGAAAUGCGUAGAGAUCUGAAGGAAUACCGGUGGCGAAGGCGGCCCCCUGGACAGAUACUGACACUCAGAUGCGAAAGCGUGGGGAGCAAACAGGAUUAGAUACCCUGGUAG